UACAGAGGUCUCAAGCGUUGUUCGGAUUCAUUGGGCGUAAAGGGGUGCGUAGGUGGCGCCGUAAGUCGGGUGUGAAAUUUCGGAGCUUAACUCCGAAACUGCAUUCGAUACUGCGGUGCUUGAGGACUGGAGAGGAGACUGGAAUUCAUGGUGUAGCAGUGAAAUGCGUAGAGAUCAUGAGGAAGACCAGUGGCGAAGGCGGGUCUCUGGACAGUUCCUGACACUGAGACACGAAAGGCCAGGGGAGGCAAACGGG
rnacentral:rRNA from 1 species